UACCAAAAGCCAAAUAUAAAGGGAUUCUAGCAUGUCCACAUCAUCAAUUAUAUUUGGCCAAUAAGAACAUUUCAUUAAUCCACCCUGGCAAAAGAAUUGGGUAGCAGAUCUCUUUCUUUCUACGGGCUCUGCUGUGUUUGAUGGGCUUCUCCGGAUCGUGUUGGACUGUGUUACCCAGUUCGAAUAAAAAAAAAAAAGGCACGACGGAUAAUACGAGGCGCUACGCUUCUCGCUCAUCGUCUUCCACCUUUCUUCACCAUCGUUUCUGCGUCUCCCUCCCUCCCUUCCUUUACUAUACGUUACUCGGUAUCAUCUCUUCAUCUCCCUACGCCCCUUCCAUCAUCCCCUCUUCAAAUGAUACACUUAUAUUCAAUUUUUUUUCCUCCGCUGUUGUUGCUGGUCAAUCAGCCGGCCCCCUACUACUCUUCAUAGAUGGAAAGAUGAUACAGACCCUGCCGUGUACUCCGAGACGAUUGUAGAGUGUUCAUGGGAUCAGGAUGAGAAAGUCUGGGUACGCGAGUCAGGGUGGAUAAAUCAACGCCAAAUGAUAUCAACACUUAGAGAAAGAUGUUGCAGGCCAGAUAUGGGCCGUCCAAGGCUCCACUCUCAACAACGUCACCGUUGUUGUCGUCCUAGACCCGUAAGCCCUCAUCAACCAUUUCGUAGGUUUCAUUUUCACUUAUCUGCCAAUUUUAUUUUUCUUAAAACUCACACACUCCUUCAACAGAUAUGUGGUGGUGUAUUUGUCUUUGUGGGAUGAUGCUUUUAGGGGACACUUGAACUCCACUGAUGUAACUCUGUCAGUUAUGGUUCUCACCACGGUCUAUCCAAAAAUAUUUGUUGGUAACCUGUAUCUUAACUCAACUCAACUCCGGCCACCAAGUUCUACUUUGACACCACCAUCCCCGCCAUUGAAGCAUUCACAGAGAGGUUUGUGACGCAAAUGUUCAACACCUAGCUUGAGAGUGUGCAGCAGAAAUCGUUUUCACACGUGUGGAAACCAUGGAGGGGGGAAUUAAAAAGAAAGAGCUUGUGACAAUUGGUGAUCUUCAUGCCUAUCUGUCCAACUCCAACGACCAUAGCCAGGAAGCAGAUUUUCUCUGUCAAGCUAGGAUUGUCAACGUCUUUCAGCAGAAUGGCUGGUCUUAUGUCUCUUGCACCGGUUGCAGACGGAAGUUGCAAAGUGUGGCACCUCUCUACGCUGCAACAGAUGUGUUUCACCCAAUGUCACUGGAGUCAAAGACUCACCCAUGUCCAACAAAACGCUCCAAAUUGUUAAUGAUCAUAACAACUUGAGGCUAUUUUACGCAGCUUCUGUGUAGAGCUGUCCGUUGAAGAUGGCAAAGACAGUGUCACAUUUUUGGUGUUUGAUACCGAGUUGUCUAAACUAAACAAAAUGAAAGCACCACCCUAUCUUUGGAGGAGAAACCACUAUCGGCUACCGCCACUGGGGAUUCCUUCAGCAAUGCCAAGUAAGUUGAUGAAGCAAAACUUCCAAGCUUGGCUGAGGAAGAGAAGACUUGCAAACGCCCCCGUGAAUGAUUGGUCGGAGUCCAGCAAACCGUCAACCCCACUUAGCUUUCAUGUGUUUUCACUUUUCUAAAUUCCUAUGUUUUUCUUUUUUUGAGCAAAAAAUCCUAUCUUUUCCAAUUUCUGAGUUUUCGUAUUGUUUCAAAAUUUCUGCAAACUAUCACCCACUAAGGUUAGCAUUUACUUUUUUUUUUAUUAAUUUAUGGGGAACAUUGAAGAGUAUUAGUAUUUUCUAUGUCCACUUAUACACUUUAUUUUAUCAUGGAAUGCAAAUUCAUACAUUCCCUAA